GGAAUAUUGGGCAAUGGAGGCAACUCUGACCCAGCAACGCCGCGUGAAUGAUGAAGGUCUUCGGAUUGUCAAGUUCUUUUCUAAGGGAAGAUAAUGACGGUACCUGACUAAGAAGCCCCGGCUAACUACGUGCCAGCAGCCGCGGUAAUACGUAGGGGGCAAGCGUUAUCCGGAUUUACUGGGUGUAAAGGGAGCGUAGGUGGCAGGGCAAGUCAGAUGUGAAAACCCGGGGCUCAACCCCGGGAGUGCAUUUGAAACUGUCCAGCUGGAGUGCAGGAGAGGUAAGCGGAAUUCCUAGUGUAGCGGUGAAAUGCAUAGAUAUUAGGAGGAACACCAGUGGCGAAGGCGGCUUACUGGACUGUAACUGACACUGAGGCUCGAAAGCGUGGGGAGCAAACAG
rnacentral:rRNA from 1 species